GGAAGAUGCCCUCUCUGCUACAGACAUCUUCAACCCAUAUUCUUUCUUUCUCCAGAGAACGCAUCAGCUCCAAGCUAUAGAGUAUUUUCUACACAGUUGCUUUCUGUUCACACAACAUUCACCAAGUUCUCCAGGUCUGCUGCAGAUCAGUUCUUCAAGAUAGAAGAUAAUUUGAAGAAAGAACCACAUCCAAGCCUUUGCUGGCAGGGAAAAAAAAAAAAACAGAGCAACAUAGAGAUAGAUAAAAAGGCAGCAGUGUAUCCAAAAUAGGAGAUGGCAUACUGUUGAAGACAUCUACAGAGAUUGUAAGUUUUCAGGACAGCUUUUCACAAUUCCCAGUUAAGAAGUCAGAGGACAUAAAAAUUGGGGGAACUGGCAAAUAAAGAAGAAGUUAAAACAGAGAGGUCUUGG
rnacentral:lncRNA from 1 species